rnacentral:rRNA from 1 species
AGGCAGCAGUGGGAAUUUUACACAAUGGGCGAAGCCUGAUGUAGCAACGCCGCGUGGAGGAUGAAGGAUUUAGGUUCGUAAACUCCUUUUAUAGGGGAAGAAAUUUGACGGUACCCUAUGAAUAAGCGCCGGCUAACUCCGUGCCAGCAGCCGCGGGUAAUACGGGGGGGCGCAAGCGUUACUCGGAAUCACUGGGCGUAAAGGGAGCGUAGGCGUUCUAUUAAGUCUCGAGUGAAAUCCCGCAGCCUAACUGCGGAACUGCUCGGGAAACUGAUAGAAUAGAGUAUGGAAGAGGUAGGUGGAAUUUCCAGUGUAGGGGUAAAAUCCGUAGAUAUUGGAAGGAAUACCAGAAGCGAAGGCGACCUACUGGGACAUUACUGACGCUGAGGCUCGAAAGCGUGGGGAGCAAACAGGAUUAGAUACCCUGGUAGUCCACGCCCUAAACGAUGAACGCUAGUCGUUACAAAGCUAGUCUUUGUAGUGACGCAGCUAACGCAUUAAGCGUUCCGCCUGGGGAGUACGGUCGCAAGAUUAAAACUCAAAGGAAUAGACGGGGAC